rnacentral:rRNA from 1 species
CUGGCUCAGGACGAACGCUGGCGGCGUGCCUAAUACAUGCAAGUCGAACGCUUCUUUUUCCACCGGAGCUUGCUCCACCGGAAAAAGAGGAGUGGCGAACGGGUGAGUAACACGUGGGUAACCUGCCCAUCAGAAGGGGAUAACACUUGGAAACAGGUGCUAAUACCGUAUAACAAUCGAAACCGCAUGGUUUUGAUUUGAAAGGCGCUUUCGGGUGUCGCUGAUGGAUGGACCCGCGGUGCAUUAGCUAGUUGGUGAGGUAACGGCUCACCAAGGCCACGAUGCAUAGCCGACCUGAGAGGGUGAUCGGCCACAUUGGGACUGAGACACGGCCCAAACUCCUACGGGAGGCAGCAGUAGGGAAUCUUCGGCAAUGGACGAAAGUCUGACCGAGCAACGCCGCGUGAGUGAAGAAGGUUUUCGGAUCGUAAAACUCUGUUGUUAGAGAAGAACAAGGAUGAGAGUAACUGUUCAUCCCUUGACGGUAUCUAACCAGAAAGCCACGGCUAAC